UGAAGCACAAAAGUAGAAUAUAAAUAUAUAAUAGCUUCUUGCUCUCAGCUGCAGGCGUUGCAUGACUAAUCUGAAACAUUGAUUUUAUAUUCUCUGACGAUGAAGCUUUCCUGGUGAAUUUGUGUGGUUCAGUUUUCCACUGUGUUCGCCAUUCUUUCUUGCUUUUUUUCCUAAUUUGUUCACCGCGCAUUAAGUUUGUUUGAUGAUUUUCUUCCAGAUCCAAUGAGAAUUAUGAGAACAGAUCCAAAAACAUAUGUCUUUUGAUCCUGAUAUGAGUUGAAUAAAAGACAUGUUUGGAAAGUUUUAUAGGUCUUAGUACAAAUGCACGUGGCAUUUCCGGCCAGCAGCGAGUCCAGCUGCCUUCUACGUCGCCUCAUCCUGUAUGAAUUGGAUUUCUUCAUCGUCAACUGCUGAGGAUGCAACAAGGGUGGCACUAGCACUGCCGAAGUAAAGAAGAACAGGCCCCCUCCUGUAUAGUUACGGUGAGCUCAGAUAAUGAAAACAUUCGACCUUUACAGAAAUUUUUUCAUUCAGUAAAAAUAUGUGAAUUGAGGGCUAUAUUGGUUCUUUCCUGUACGUAUAGUAUUGUUUUUAUGCAUGACAAUCGUUUUAAAGGAAUGCCUAAUGAUAUGCCUAGGUGUUAUUUUUCCUCAACUGAACUAUUUGUAGCUUCAGUUAAGUUUUGAUUUCUCCCUACAUCAUGUGCAUUCAUGUUCAUAUAGAAAUUGUAUUAUCAUGUCCAUCCAGAGUAUGGUGCUUUCGUAAAGGUUUAGGAAGCUUCUACUGGUUGUUUUUUGAUUCAGACAUGGGGCAUAAAAGUAACAUCGCAUGUCUUACGGCUAAAUGAUAUGUAUCUUGGAUGCAAUUCAGUCGUCGAAAAGCCGAGGAGAGGUCUAAAUAUUUUAUAACUUCUUUUUUCCUUUGUAUUGGUGCAUUAUUCACGAUUAGUCAAUUAAAUACCACACCCUUUUAAACUAAAUAUUAACAACAUCAGAGAACCACGAUGUGAUCAAGUAGGGAAGAAACUAGAAUCUGCUACCCAAUGUUCCGCUUGAUGUCGGAUUUAGUUUGCAUUUCGGAAGUCCUACCAAUUCAUGCUUUUGAGUUAUGGCCAUCAUAUCUACAUAUUUGCAGUAUCAAAAAGGUAAUUAAUUAAUGUGUGCUACUCCUUUUAACUGAUUUUACCAAUCUUUCACGUUUGCAUCUAACUAUGGCUGAUUGUUCUUUGUUCUCAUUGAUACUUAGUAAGUUAGUUAAAGCUGCAAACAAAUUGGAAAAUCAUAGUAUGUGCAAUCUAAAUUCAGUGCCAAUGAUUCAAUAUAAGUCGAGUCAAGUUACUUUGGUGAAGGACAGCCAGUGCUUGAAGUUUCCAUACUAGCUAAUGAUAUGUAUCUUGGAUGCAAUUCAGUCGUCGAAAAGCCGGGGAGAGGUCUAAAUAUUUUAUAACUUCUCUUUUCCUAGCUAUUGGUGCAUUAUUCACGAUUAUUCAAUUAAAUACCACACCUUUUUUUUUGAAAAGGGAAAAUACCACACCCUUUUAAACUAAAUAUUAACAACAUCAGAGAAUCACGAUGUAAUCAAGUAGGGAAAAAACUAGAAUCUGCUACCCAAUGUUCCGCUUGAUGUCGGAUUCAGUUUGCAUUUCGGAAGUCCUACCAAUUCAUGCUUUUGAGUUAUGGCCAACAUAUAUACAUAUUUGUAGUUACAAUAAGGUAAUUAUUAUUGUGUGCUCCUCCUUUUAAUUGAUUUUACCAAUCUUUCGUUUGCAUCUAUCUAUGACUGAUUGUUCUUUGUUCUCAUUGAUACUUGGUAAGUUAGUUAAAGCUGCAAACAAAUUGGAAAAGCAUAGUAUGUGCAAUCUAAAUUCAGUGCCAAUGAUUCAAUAUAAGUCGAGUCAAGUGACUUUGGUGAAGGACACCCAGUGCUUCAAGUUUCCAUGCAAGCACAUGCGAUCCCCAAUGCAAAUUUAAGUCUUAGUGCUACAACCGGUUUGUGUGUUCUGCAUGAUUUUUCAUCGGUCGUUGUUUUUUUUCGAAGAGGGGAACGGAGCCCCGACCUCUACAUGGAGCGCACUAGGGUCCACUAUUUUGUUUCACUUUGCUUUGUCUAUUUGUAUAUGGUUGUUCAGAAAUUUGUACUUUUGUUCUUUUAUAUUUGGCCUUUAACAUUCUUGCUAUGCUGUAAGAUGGAAAUAGUU